rnacentral:rRNA from 1 species
AGAGUUUGAUCCUGGCUCAGGACGAACGCUGGCGGCGUGCCUAAUACAUGCAAGUCGAACGAGAAUUGCUUACACCGAGUGCUUGCACUCACCGUAAGGAAUUCGAGUGGCGGACGGGUGAGUAACACGUGGGUAACCUGCCUAUCAGAGGGGGAUAACACUUGGAAACAGGUGCUAAUACCGCAUAACAUUGAAAAGCGCAUGCUUUUCAAUUAAAAGGCGCUUCUGGUGUCACUGGUAGAUGGACCCGCGGCGUAUUAGCUAGUUGGUGGGGUAACGGCCUACCAAGGCAAUGAUACGUAGCCGAGUUGAGAGACUGAUCGGCCACAAUGGGACUGAGACACGGCCCAUACUCCUACGGGAGGCAGCAGUAGGGAAUCUUCCACAAUGGGCGCAAGCCUGAUGGAGCAACGCCGCGUGCGUGAAGAAGGUCUUCGGAUCGUAAAGCGCUGUUGUUAGAGAAGAACACGGAUAAGAGUAACUGUUUAUGCGUUGACGGUAUCUAACCAGAAAGUCACGGCUAACUACGUGCCAGCAGCCGCGGUAAUACGUAGGUGGCAAGCGUUGUCCGGAUUUAUUGGGCGUAAAGGGAACGCAGGCUGUUUUUUAAGUCCGAUGUGAAAGCCUUCGGCUUAACCGAAGAAGUGCAUUGGAAACUGGGAGACUUGAGUGCAGAAGAGGAGAGUGGAACUCCAUGUGUAGCGGUGAAAUGCGUAGAUAUAUGGAAGAACACCAGUGGCGAAAGCGGCUCUCUGGUCUGUAACUGACGCUGAGGUUCGAAAGCAUGGGUAGCGAACAGGAUUAGAUACCCUGGUAGUCCAAGGGCGAAUUCG